CGCAACUCGUCUGUUGGCCUGUUUCCUCAGCCCCUAAAAUGAAGGAGAAAUCUUCACUUGAACAUUCCCCUGGAUGACUCUUCAACCACAGACGCAGAGGAGCAGUGACGUGGCCUGUGGCCUCAGCUGGGAGAGGCCUGAGGUGUGGCGCUCUACUCCAGACACCUCCUCCAGUAUCUUCUCCAAGACUGAAUAUGC